GCUCACUGAACUUUUCUAGGUUACAAAACAGUCACUUUUCUAAAAUGUCUAUUUACUAAAAUUGCAUUCAGGUUACCCAACUUUUGAACUUUGGAGUUUGGUCACCAGACUUCUCCCAUAUUGCUAGAAGUUCAUUGCACUUUCUCCCCCUUGCAAGGAGGUUAGUCUUCUUCUCCGGCGAGGGGCCUCGCCGCCGGCAAGAAAACCCCAGGAUCUCGUGACCUCUGAAACUUGCCCAGAAGUCGAGGACUGCUUGAUUAAUCGCCAAUGAAACGUUCCCAACCAAAUUCUGAUGCCGGGGAGGAAAUAUUGAGGUGCUGGGGUGGUCUGGAAGUUCCCAAAUCGACUCCAGAAUCCAACAAGCAUCUCCACUCCGAUAAGAGUCUAAUAACCGCUAAAACUUGAUGAAUCGAGACCCAAUCGCAUGGGGAAGAUCUUUGGCCUUCUGA
rnacentral:lncRNA from 1 species